rnacentral:misc_RNA from 1 species
GUGAAUGAAUAGCUACAUUUGGUAACGUGCAGUGCAAUUUCUACUGGCAAAAAGAAGAAGAAUAUUUAAGCAGAAGCAAAUUCAGGGAAAAAAAGUAGUAAAGAUAUCACGUCUAUUUCAUAAAAAAGGUGUAUACAUAUUGGAAAUCUAAAACCCAAGUUGUUCAAGAUUUUAGAUUUGAGCUUGUUUGAACAUAUCCAGAUCUGUGGAAGAGGCGAUGGCUGGUCGUUACAAUGACAAUCCUUUUGCUGAAGAAGAUGAAGUGAACCCAUUUUCGAAUAAUGGAAGUGUUCCUGCUGCUUCAAACUUGAGGCCUUAUCCUCUUCCUCAUGAACCUGCUGGCUAUGAUCGUGGCGCAACCGUUGAUAUUCCUCUUGAUGGUUCAAAUGAUAUGAAGAAGAAAGAGAAAGAACUCCAAGCUAAAGAGGCUGAAUUAAAGAAAAGAGAACAGGAACUUAAAAGGAAGGAGGAUGCAAUAACAAGAGCUGGUGUAGUGAUUGAAGACAAGAAUUGGCCACCAUUCUUCCCCAUCAUUCAUCACGAUAUCGCAAAUGAAAUUCCUAUUCAUCUACAGAAGUUGCAAUAUGUUGCAUUCACUACACUGUUGGGUCUGGCAGCCUGUCUUGUAUGGAACCUUGUUGCUGUCACCUUAGCUUGGAUCAGAGGAGAAGGUCCAACUAUCUGGUUGCUUGCUGUUAUAUACUUAAUAUCAGGUGUCCCAGGAGCCUAUGUAUUGUGGUAUCGGCCUCUCUAUCGUGCGAUGAGGACUGAUAGUGCGCUGAAGUUUGGGUGGUUUUUCUUAAGUUACGUGUUUCACAUCGGAUUCUGCAUCAUUGCUGCUGUUGCACCUCCAAUUUUCUUCAAGGGAAAAUCUUUGACUGGUAUCUUGCCUGCAAUUGAUCUUUUAGGCUGGCAUGCUUUGGUUGGGAUAUUCUACUUCAUUGGAGCUGGAUUCUUCUGUCUUGAAACACUGAUGAGCAUAUGGGUUAUACAGCAAGUCUACAUGUAUUUCCGCGGAAGUGGAAAGGCUGCAGAGAUGAAGAAAGAGGCUGCAAGAUCGACUAUGAUGGCUGCACUGUGACGACAUUAUUGUAGGGUCAUUCAAGCAUAUGCAGUUUUGAUUCUUUGAUUGCUUUCAUCACUACAACUUAACUAAAUGAUGCAAAUGUAAUUCUGGAGUACAUAGUGAUAUCAAUGAGUAACACUUGAACAGCCUCAUGUUAUGUGGACAUUUAUAGUAAUUU